rnacentral:rRNA from 1 species
UACGGGAGGCAGCGGUGGGGAAUAUUGCACAAUGGGCGAAAGCCUGAUGCAGCUAUGCCGCGUGUAUGAAGAAGGCCUUAGGGUUGUAAAGUACUUUCAUCGGGGAGGAAAAAACAAAACUAAUAAUUUUAUUUCUUGACGUUACCCGAAAAAGAAGCACCGGCUAACUCCGUGCCAGCAGCCGCGGUAAUACGGAGGGUGCUAGCGUUAAUCAGAAUUACUGGGCGUAAAGAGCACGUAGGUGGUUUUUUUAAGUCAGAUGUGAAAUCCCUGGGCUUAACCUGGAACUGCAUUUUGAAACUGAAAUACUAGAGUAUCGUAGAGGGAGGUAGAAUUCUAGGUGUAGCGGUGAAAUGCGUAGAUAUCUGGAGGAAUACCUGUGGCGAAAGCGGCCUCCUAAACGAAUACUGACACUGAGGUGCGAAAGCGUGGGGAGCAAACAGGGAUUAGAUACC